CUCGAAUCCUUGGAACCUAGGUGUGAGUGCUGUUUCCAUGCAACACACCUAUUCAAGGAUUCAAA
rfam:Felis catus isolate Cinnamon breed Abyssinian chromosome X, whole genome shotgun sequence.